rnacentral:rRNA from 1 species
UACAGAGGGUGCGAGCGUUGUUCGGAAUUAUUGGGCGUAAAGGGCGCGUAGGCGGUGCGGUAAGUCACCUGUGAAAUCUCCUGGCUCAACUGGGAGCUUGCAGGCGAAACUGCCGUGCUGGAGUGUGGGAGAGGUGCGUGGAAUUCCGGUGUAGCGGUGAAAUGCGUAGAUAUCGGGAGGAACACCUGUGGCGAAAGCGGCGCACUGGACCACAACUGACGCUGAGGCGCGAAAGCUAGGGGAGCAAACAGG